rnacentral:rRNA from 1 species
UACAGAGGUCUCAAGCGUUGUUCGGAUUCAUUGGGCGUAAAGGGUGCGUAGGCGGCGCGGUAAGUCGGGUGUGAAAUCUCGGAGCUUAACUCCGAAAUUGCAUUCGAUACUGCCGUGCUCGAGGACUGGAGAGGAGACUGGAAUUCAUGGUGUAGCAGUGAAAUGCGUAGAGAUCAUGAGGAAGACCAGUGGCGAAGGCGGGUCUCUGGACAGUUCCUGACACUGAGACACGAAGGCCAGGGGAGCAAACGGG